CCUACGGGGGGCAGCAGUGAGGAAUAUUGGUCAAUGGGCGCAAGCCUGAACCAGCCAUGCCGCGUGCAGGAUGACGGUCCUAUGGAUUGUAAACUGCUUUUGCACAGGAAGAAACACUACCUCGUGAGGUAGCUUGACGGUACUGUGAGAAUAAGGAUCGGCUAACUCCGUGCCAGCAGCCGCGGUAAUACGGAGGAUCCAAGCGUUAUCCGGAAUCAUUGGGUUUAAAGGGUCCGUAGGCGGUCUAAUAAGUCAGUGGUGAAAGCCCUACGCUCAACGUAGGAACGGCCAUUGAUACUGUUAGACUUGAAUUAUUUGGAAGUAACUAGAAUAUGUAGUGUAGCGGUGAAAUGCUUAGAGAUUACAUGGAAUACCAAUUGCGAAGGCAGGUUACUACAAAUGGAUUGACGCUGAUGGACGAAAGCGUGGGUAGCGAACAGGAUUAGAUACCCCGGUAGUC
rnacentral:rRNA from 1 species